rnacentral:rRNA from 1 species
GACGAACGCUGGCGGCGUGCUUAACACAUGCAAGUCGAACGGAAAGGCCCUGCUUUUGUGGGGUGCUCGAGUGGCGAACGGGUGAGUAACACGUGAGUAACCUGCCCUUGACUUUGGGAUAACUUCAGGAAACUGGGGCUAAUACCGGAUAGGAGCUCCUGCUGCAUGGUGGGGGUUGGAAAGUUUCGGCGGUUGGGGAUGGACUCGCGGCUUAUCAGCUUGUUGGUGGGGUAGUGGCUUACCAAGGCUUUGACGGGUAGCCGGCCUGAGAGGGUGACCGGCCACAUUGGGACUGAGAUACGGCCCAGACUCCUACGGGAGGCAGCAGUGGGGAAUAUUGCACAAUGGGCGGAAGCCUGAUGCAGCAACGCCGCGUGCGGGAUGACGGCCUUCGGGUUGUAAACCGCUUUCGCCUGUGACGAAGCGUGAGUGACGGUAAUGGGUAAAGAAGCACCGGCUAACUACGUGCCAGCAGCCGCGGUGAUACGUAGGGUGCGAGCGUUGUCCGGAUUUAUUGGGCGUAAAGGGCUCGUAGGUGGUUGAUCGCGUCGGAAGUGUAAUCUUGGGGCUUAACCCUGAGCGUGCUUUCGAUACGGGUUGACUUGAGGAAGGUAGGGGAGAAUGGAAUUCCUGGUGGAGCGGUGGAAUGCGCAGAUAUCAGGAGGAACACCAGUGGCGAAGGCGGUUCUCUGGGCCUUUCCUGACGCUGAGGAGCGAAAGCGUGGGGAGCGAACAGGCUUAGAUACCCUGGUAGUCCACGCUGUAAACGGUGGGUACUAGGUGUGGGGUCCAUUCCACGGGUUCCGUGCCGUAGCUAACGCUUUAAGUACCCCGCCUGGGGAGUACGGCCGCAAGGCUAAAACUCAAAGGAAUUGACGGGGCCCCGCACAAGCGGCGGAGCAUGCGGAUUAAUUCGAUGCAACGCGUAGAACCUUACCUGGGUUUGACAUGGAUCGGGAGUGCUCAGAGAUGGGUGUGCCUCUUUUGGGGUCGGUUCACAGGUGGUGCAUGGCUGUCGUCAGCUCAUGUCGUGAGAUGUUGGGUUAAGUCCCGCAACGAGCGCAACCCUUGUUCACUGUUGCCAGCACGUUAUGGUGGGGACUCAGUGGAGACCGCCGGGGUCAACUCGGAGGAAGGUGGGGAUGACGUCAAGUCAUCAUGCCCCUUAUGUCCAGGGCCUCACGCAUGCUACAAUGGCUGGUACAGAGAGUGGCGAGCCUGUGAGGGUGAGCGAAUCUCGGAAAGCCGGUCUCAGUUCGGAUUGGGGUCUGCAACUCGACCUCAUGAAGUCGGAGUCGCUAGUAAUCGCAGAUCAGCAACGCUGCGGUGAAUACGUUCCCGGGGCU